rnacentral:lncRNA from 1 species
GAGGAGCCUCAAAUAGGGGGACACUGAGAACCUAGGACAUUACAUUGGCAUUGCAUGGUGUGUCCCAACCCCUCGCUAAUAUGCUGAAGUACGUAACACAUGGAGCAUGUUUGUCUGAUUCUCAUUUUCUGCUGUGUUUUUGUUUGUGACUUUCCUAAUUCUCUUUACUUUUGAUUUUAGUAGGUGAACAAGUUGGGGCUCUGAAAGCAAUUCUGUGGCACAGAAGAUUUCUUGGAAGCUAGGUCAGGAGAAAAUAAAUUCCAGUGCUGAUGAAGCUGACAAAUUCAAGUACAUUCUUCAAAAUAGCAUUUUUCUCUGGCAAUGUAAUUUUAGUUUGGAGUACAGCAAUAAUUGAAUUCCUGGGACUGAUACAGGGUGACCACCAAGAAGAAAAUCAAGCUCUUGGAUAACAAUACUGGGGCAGUUUUGGUCCAUUUUGAUUUUGCUGUGAGGGUGUUGUGAACUGUAAAGAAUUACUCUAAGUUGUAGUAUGAAAUUCGAUGUUACUUGUUGAACAGCACAUUAAACUUAAUUAUCUAAAGUUUUCCUGUGUUAACAUUAAUAAAGUGUGUGGAGUGGAUUAUUUCA